GUUGACCUCGGAUCAGGUAGGAAUACCCGCUGAACUUAAGCAUAUCAAUAAGCGGAGGAAAAGAAACCAACAGGGAUUGCCCCAGUAACGGCGAGUGAAGCGGCAACAGCUCAAAUUUGAAAUCUGGCCCCAGGCCCGAGUUGUAAUUUGCAGAGGAUGCUUUUGGCGCGGUGCCUUCCGAGUUCCCUGGAACGGGACGCCAUAGAGGGUGAGAGCCCCGUACGGUUGGACACCAAGCCUUUGUAAAGCUCCUUCGACGAGUCGAGUAGUUUGGGAAUGCUGCUCUAAAUGGGAGGUACAUUUCUUCUAAAGCUAAAUAUUGGCCAGAGACCGAUAGCGCACAAGUAGAGUGAUCGAAAGAUGAAAAGCACUUUGAAAAGAGGGUUAAACAGCACGUGAAAUUGUUAAAAGGGAAGCGCUUGUGACCAGACUUGCGUCCGGUGAAUCACCCAGCUCUCGCGGCUGGGGCACUUCGCCGGCACAGGCCAGCAUCAGCUUGCCGUCGGGGACAAAAGCUUCAGGAACGUAGCUCCUCUCGGGGAGUGUUAUAGCCUGUUGUAUAAUACCCUUCGGCGGGCUGAGGUACGC
rnacentral:rRNA from 1 species